GACGAACGCUGGCGGCGUGCCUAAUACAUGCAAGUCGAACGCAGUGGGGACGGGUGAGUAACACGUGGGUAACCUCCCAUCAGAGGGGAUAACACUUGGAAACAGGUGCUAAACCGAUACUGAUGGAUGGACCCGCGGUGCAUUAGCUAGUGGGUGGGGUAACGGCUAACCAAGGCCACGAUGCAUAGCCGACCUGGCAUGGUGAUCGGCCAACUUGGGACUGAGAACCGGCCCCGAAUCCUACGGGAGGGAGCCGUAGGGGAUCUUCGGCAAUGGACGAAAGUCUGACCGCGGAACGUCGGGUGAGUGAAGAAGGUUUUCGGGUUGUAAAGCUCUGUUCAUCGGGACGCGGUACCUGAAUAGAAAGCCACGGCUAACUACGUGCCAGCCGCCGCGGUAAUUC
rnacentral:rRNA from 1 species